AGAGCGAACGCUGGCGGCAGGCCUAACACAUGCAAGUCGAGCGCGUGUAGCAAUACACGAGCGGCAGACGGGAGAGUAACACGUGGGAACGCGCCCUUCGGUUCGGAAUAACUCAGGGAAACUUGAGCUAAUACCGGAUACGCCCUUACGGGGAAAGAUUUAUUGCCGAAGGAACGGCCCGCGUCCGAUUAGCUAGUUGGUGAGGUAACGGCUCACCAAGGCGACGAUCGGUAGCUGGUCUGAGAGGAUGACCAGCCUCACUGGGACUGAGACACGGCCCAGACUCCUACGGGAGGCAGCAGUGGGGAAUAUUGGACAAUGGGCGCAAGCCUGAUCCAGCCAUGCCGCGUGGAUGAUGAAGGCCUUAGGGUUGUAAAGUCCUUUAACGGGGAAGAUAAUGACGGUACCGUAGAAUAAGCCCGGCUAACUUCGUGCCAGCAGCCGC
rnacentral:rRNA from 1 species